rnacentral:rRNA from 1 species
CCUACGGGGGGCAGCAGUAAGGAAUAUUGGACAAUGGGGGAAACCCUGAUCCAGCCAUGCCGCGUGAAUGAAGAAGGCCUUAGGGUUGUAAAGUUCUUUUAGGGGUGAGACGGUAGCCCCAGAAAAAGCUCCGGCUAACUCCGUGCCAGCAGCCGCGGUAAUACGGAGGGAGCGAGCGUUGUUCGGAAUUACUGGGCGUAAAGCGUGCGCAGGCGGAUUUCCAAGUCAGGAGUGAAAUCCCAGGGCUCAACCCUGGAAUUGCUUUUGAAACUGGAUGUCUGGAGUCUCGGAGAGGUUGGCGGAAUUCCCAGUGUAGAGGUGAAAUUCGUAGAUAUUGGGAGGAACACCAGUGGCGUAAGCGGCCAACUGGACGAGACUGACGCUCAUGCACGAAAGUGUGGGGAUCAAACAGGAUUAGAUACCCUUGUAGUC